rnacentral:tRNA from 1 species
GGGCGGUUAGCUCAGUGGUAGAGCGCCUGCCUUACAAGCAGGUGGCCAUAGGUUCGAAUCCUAUACCGCCCA